GUCAUCCUUUCUGAGAUUGUAUCUGUUUUGUUUACAUUGUACACAUAAGGCACGGCAUGUUUAUAAAAACAAUGUCGAUAUCGUAACACACGGUAUUUUCUUCAAACUGAUAAGAAAAUUAAAGUUCUACCUUAUUCAAACAACGAUUUGUGUCACAGAGUGCAAAGCAAAAUGGCGGAAUGCACCAAACUGAUACAAAGUUACUGUGCAUUAGUUUUGUUUACAGUUCUUAAAAACGUUGAAGCUUCCUGCUAUUACUAUUACAAUGGUUAUGAUUCCAUCCAAUACUGCUACUACAAUCCUUAUUUGGUAAUAUUUGGUUCAUCCUAUGGAGCUGUGAUCGGGAUCGGCAUUCUUGUAAGCCUUAUCGUCUGCUUCUGUUGUAUACAUAAGAAAAAUAGACAAUGGAUCCAGG